CAACUACAUAAAGCAGGGUGGCGGCUGAACCCCUUUGGAAAGGGGGUGACGCUUUUGACGACAUUUGAGGCAUUUAGUCUUAUAGCUCAAUUUGGCAUAUUACAAAUAGCAGCUUUUACACUGAUCGUAACUAUUGUCGUCUAUUUAAACAAAAAGAAAUAGCCACCCUGACAGCCAAGUAAGGGGGCUAUUUCUAUAGUUUUCCAUUGGUCAGCCGCUAUCGCUGCGGCAUGUGGUUGUACGACUGAGUGUACCAGCACUCGGU
rnacentral:sRNA from 1 species